rnacentral:rRNA from 1 species
GAUGAACGCUAGCGGAAGGCUUAAUACAUGCAAGUCGAGCGGUAGGUGGCUUCGGCCAUUGAGAGCGGCGCACGGGUGAGUAACGCGUACAUGACCUGCCUGUCAGAAGGGGAUAGCCCUGGGAAACUGGGAUUAAUACCCUAUGGUAUUGAUAUUAUGAAUGAUAUCAAUUAAAGUUGAGGCGCUGACAGAUGGAUGUGCGUCUGAUUAGCUAGUUGGUAGGGUAACGGCCUACCAAGGCGAUGAUCAGUAGGGGGCGUGAGAGCGUGGUCCCCCACACGGGUACUGAGACACGGACCCGACUCCUACGGGAGGCAGCAGUAAGGAAUAUUGGUCAAUGCCCGCAAGGGUGAACCAGCCAUUCCGCGUGGAGGAUGAAGGCCCUAUGGGUUGUAAACUUCUUUUAGAUGGGAAGAAAUGCUAGAUGUAUCUGGUACUGACGGUACAUCAGAAUAAGCACCGGCUAACUCCGUGCCAGCAGCCGCGGUAAU